rnacentral:rRNA from 1 species
AAGAAGGUUACUUAACGCAUGGUGUGGAUGCCUUGACUGAAGCAAGCGAUGAAGGACGUAGGAGGCUGCGAUAAGCCUCGGGGAGCUGUCAACCAAGCUUUGAUCCGGGGAUUUCCGAAUGGGGCAACCCUUCCACUUUUAGUGGAAAACCGUAUCUGAAUUCAUAGGGUGCGGUAGCAGACCCUGGGAACUGAAACAUCUUAGUACCAGGAGGAAAAGAAAUUAACCAGCCUCGCGUAGACGCAAGUCUAGGCGGGUAAAGAUUCCGCAAGUAGUGGCGAGCGAACGCGGAGAAGCCUAAACCACCAUGUUUACAUGGUGGGGUUGCAGGGCUUGUGGACUCGGUUGAUCGGGGCUUCUCUAUUUCUGUUAGCAAAAUGUUCUGGAAAGAACAACCAAAGAGGGUAAUAGUCCCGUAUGUGAAAACGAGAAUAGAGAGGUGCACAAGUUCCUAAGUAGGGCGGGGCCGGAGAAACCCCGUUUGAAUCUGGGAGCACUAACUUCCAAGGCUAAACAUUGCUUCAGAUCGAUAGUGAACUAGUACCGUGAGGGAAAGGUGAAAAGCAUCCCGAUAAGGGAGGUGAAAUAGAACUGAAACUCCAUGCUAACGAAGAGUGGGAGUCCCUCACCAAUUUUGCCGGUAAUAUACCGGCGCUGCCGCGGGCGAAUAGCCCGGCCCUAUUCGGGCCAGGCAGCGCGAUUUCAAAGAAGCACAAGUGGUAUGUAAUCACUUUUACUUUUUAUUGUUGGCAAAAUUGGUGAGGGAUGACCGCGUGCUUUUUGCAGCACGAUCCAACGAGUUAAUUUUACGUGGCUGUCUAAGGGAUGACGAAUUCCGGAGACACAGUGAAAGCGAGCCUGAAUAGGGCGAAACGGAGCAUACACUAAGAAUCUCUUUCGUUGCGAGAGAGAAAAAUUUUGAGCGAAAAUUCUGAAGGGGUUCGAGGCGUAGCAAAAGAAUGGCUACGGCGAGGAGCACUGAAGAAUUUGUAGCCGAAAUUUUUAUCUCGCAGCAGAAAAUGGAUUUUUAGUGUAUGCUCCAAAGUCGCGUGGAUUAGACCCGAAGCCAGACGAGCUACAUAUGAGCAGGGUGAAGCGUGGGUAAAACCACGUGGAGGCCCGCACCCACUUGCUGUGCAACUCAAGGGGAUGACUUGUGUGUAGGGGAGAAAUUCCAAUCGAGUUUGGCAAUAGCUGGUUCUCUCUGAAAUAGCUUGAGGGCUAGCGUCUUGUAAAUUAUAUCCGGGGGGUAGAGCUACUGGAUGAGA